rnacentral:rRNA from 1 species
GAUGAACGCUGGCGGCGUGCCUAAUACAUGCAAGUCGAGCGAACGGACGAGAAGCUUGCUUCUCUAAUGUUAGCGGCGGACGGGUGAGUAACACGUGGAUAACCUACCUAUAAGACUGGGAUAACUUCGGGAAACCGUAGCUAAUACCGGAUAAUAUUUUGAACCGCAUGGUUCAAAAGUGAAAGACGGUCUUGCUGUCACUUAUAGAUGGAUCCGCGCUGCAUUAGCUAGUUGGUAAGGUAACGGCUUACCAAGGCAACGAUGCAUAGCCGACCUGAGAGGGUGAUCGGCCACACUGGAACUGAGACACGGUCCAGACUCCUACGGGAGGCAGCAGUAGGGAAUCUCCCGCAAUGGGCGAAAGCCUGACGGAGCAACGCCGCGUGAGUGAUGAAGGUCUUCGGAUCGUAAAACUCUGUUAUUAGGGAAGAACAUAUGUGUAAGUAACUGUGCACAUCUUGACGGUACCUAAUCAGAAAGCCACGGCUAACUACGUG